rnacentral:rRNA from 1 species
AUUGAACGCUGGCGGCAUGCCUUACACAUGCAAGUCGAACGGCAGCGCGGGGCAACCUGGCGGCGAGUGGCGAACGGGUGAGUAACAUAUCGGAACAUACCCUAGAGUGGGGGAUAACGUAGCGAAAGUUACGCUAAUACCGCAUACGAUCUAAGGAUGAAAGUGGGGGAUCUUCGGACCUCAUGCUCAUGGAGUGGCCGAUAUCUGAUUAGCUAGUUGGUGAGGUAAAGGCUCACCAAGGCGACGAUCAGUAGCUGGUUUGAGAGAACGACCAGCCACACUGGAACUGAGACACGGUCCAGACUCCUACGGGAGGCAGCAGUGGGGAAUUUUGGACAAUGGGGGCAACCCUGAUCCAGCAAUGCCGCGUGAGUGAAGAAGGCC